GGCUGAAGGGCCGGAUGUCGAGUGUCCGUGGGGAGCAGGGGUCUGAAGGGCUGGAAGCUGGGGUCAGGGUCCCAGCCACCCCGGGUCCGGGAUGGGAGCGGCCUGAACUGGGGAGAGCAGGGCCCCGGUGUCAGAAGACCCACAGGCUGACUCCACAAUCUCACUCCUUCCCCACUUGGAGGCCAAGAUCCGUCAGACACACAGCCUUGCCCGCCUCCUCAC